rnacentral:rRNA from 1 species
AUUGAACGCUGGCGGCAGGCCUAACACAUGCAAGUCGAGCGAGCGGCGGACGGGUGAGUAAUGUAUGGGGACUGCCCGCUCGAGGGGGAUAACUACUGGAAACGGUGGCUAAUACCGCAUACUCUCGGAUAACCCAUAUGGGAUUAGCUAGUAGGUGGGGUAAAGGGUCACCUAGGCGACGAUCUCUAGCUGGUAUGAGAGGAUGAUCAGCCAGACUGGGAAAGGGACACGGUCCAGACUUCUACGGAGGCAGCAGUGGGGACUAUUGGAAAAGGGGAACAGUCCUGAUGCAGCCAGGCCGCGUGUAGGAAGAAGGCCUUAGGGUUGUAAAGUAUUUUCAGCGGGUAGGCGGUACCAUCAGUAGAAGCACCGGCUAACUCCGUGCCAGCCGCCGCGGUAAUAC